AUAAAAUACAUUAUGCUUGGGAAAGCAUUGCUGGAAACCGUGAGAAGGCUGGUUUCUUUUGGCGAAUUCUAUAAAGGGGGUAGGAAAUCGUAACAUCCUAAUUAUUUUUCUCCCAACUUGUUGCCUAUCUAUUUUUGAAGAUACAGUAGCUGAUUAAAACCUAGAUUUACAGGAGUUCCCAUCGUGGCUCAGAGGUAACAAACCCAACUAGGAUCCAUGAGGACUCGGGUUCGAUCCCUGUCCUUGUUCAGUGGGUGAAGGAUCUAGCGUUGCCCUGAGCUGUGGUGUAGGCACAGAUGUGGCUCAGAUCCCAAGUUGCUGUGGCUGUGGCUUAGGCUGUCAGCUGCAGCUCUGAUUUGACCCCUGUCCUGGGAACUUCCAUAUGCUGCAGGUGUGUUCCUAAAAACAAACAAACAAACAAACAGAAAAACCCAACCAACCAACCAAACAAAAAGCAACGCCCCCCCCCCCAAACCCACCUAGAUAUAUAAAAGAGAUUGAAAACCAUUUGAGGAAUGAAAAAUAAUCAAAUUGAGACAGCUACUGCUACUGAAAUUCAUGUGUCACUUUUUGGUUCUUGACAAUGCAAAGACAAAAAAAGGGAAAUAUAGAGCGGGUCUGUUUGUCUUAUCUUUUAAGCUUAUGCAAAAUAGCAAACUUUGUAUUGACAAGAAGUUCCAAAUGCAAUUUAGUAAGUAGAGCUUUCUAAAUAAUGCCAGGGUAAACAGAAGGCAAUGUAGCUUCUCUUGCUUUGUAAAAGCGAUCAAAACGUUUAUCCUGUGGCCAGUUUUCAUGUGGUGGUUAAUUCGAAAUGAAGGCCAUAACACACAAUAGAAAUUAUUUGGGAGGCUAAACUAACGUGGUUCAGUUGUGCUGAUUUCUGUUCACCUAACUCAAUUUAGAGAUGAAUCAUUAAGACCUAGGGUGAGGAAUAGUAAUGCCCCUCAGGCUGUACCUCAGGUGUCAGUGAUCUCAGUUAUGCUUCCAAUAUGAGCUAACCAGGCUUCACUGAAUGGUUGUUGAGUGACUGAACAAGUGUAUGUGUUCUGGGGGUGAUCGAAUAUCAGUAUUUAAGAUGAAUUAUGAUAGCAGAACUGCAGCUUUGAAAGGAGGUAACUCCUAACUGUGUGUAACUUUUGACAUUACUUAAUCUCUUUCAGCUUAAGCAAAAUAGGGAUUAUAAUAUGUAAUUUGAAAGAUUGUGG
rnacentral:lncRNA from 1 species